GAUGAAGAACGUAGUGAAAUGCGAUAAGUAAUGUGAAUUGCAGAAUUCAGUGAAUCAUCGAAUCUUUGAACGCACAUUGCGCCCGCCAGUAUUCUGGCGGGCAUGCCUGUCCGAGCGUCAUUUCAACCCUCGAACCCCUCCGGGGGGUCGGCGUUGGGGAUCGGCCCUUUCACCGGGUGCCGGCCCCUAAAUACAGUGGCGGUCUCGCCGCAGCCUCUCAUGCGCAGUAGUUUGCACACUCGCACCGGGAGCGCGGCGCGUCCACGUCCGUAAAACACCCCAACUUCUGAAAUGUUGACCUCGGAUCAGGUAGGAAUACCCGCUGAACUUAAGCAUAUCAAUAAGCGGAGGA
rnacentral:misc_RNA from 1 species